UCUGCAGCCCGACUUGAGUGGAAAUCCUUUUUAUUUUUUCUCAAAAAAAAUUAAAAGAUUGGGAACGGAAGGCGGUAAUUGCU
rnacentral:sRNA from 1 species